UUUCCGUAGGUGAACCAGUGGAAGGAUCAUUAUUGUAUAACCGAGGUGCGAGGGCUGUCGCUGACCCGAAAGGUCGUGCACGCCCGAGUGCCCUCACACACAUCCAUCUCACCCCUAUGUGCACCACCGCGUGGGUCCCCCUUUGGCUUGUUCGGAGGGGGGCUUACGUUUUCACACAAACUUUGUAUGCAGUGUAGAAUGUAUUUUUUGUUUUUGCGAUCACGCAAUCAAUACAACUUUCAACAACGGAUCUCUUGGCUCUC
rnacentral:misc_RNA from 1 species